GUUGGAACAGUCAGAGGAAUGGAAGGAAUUACUUCCUCGCGAUACUAGUGGUCGGACACAGUGCCUCUGUCUCAGGGCUUGCAUUUCUGCUUACCAUUGGCCCUGCACACAGCCUCCACCCCCUUAUAUACCGCCACAAGAGUCAGGAAGCACAGCAUGUGUAGCUGCCAUUAGAGGCCACAAGAUCAUUAUUGGAAAUGUUGGACAUUCUCGUUGCAUAAUCUCAAAGAAUGGUCAGGCAAUUGAAUUAACCAGUGAACACAAACCAAGCCAUUCGAUUGAAAAAUAUAGAAUUGAAAGAGCAGGGGGACGAGUAACCAGGGAUCAGGUUGUACUACCAGGUGAAGCAGAAGGAUUCUUCCACCAGCGAGGGUCGGGUAUCUCUCGGAUUAAUGGAAUCUUAGCCUACUCCAGAG